rnacentral:rRNA from 1 species
CCUCAAGAUGAGAUUUCCCAGUAUGUAAGACCCCUUGAAGACGACGAGGUAGAUAGGUUGGGGGUGGAAGUGCAGUAAUGCAUGGAGCUGACCAAUACUAAUCGGUCGAGGGCUUAUCCUA